AGGAAGUUUUGAUUCUUUAUUCAGGUAGUAGAUUUACAAUUAUUAUAUGUUAACUUCAUUUCUCAGUUCUGGAUAUGACAAAUUUAAGAAUUUACUGUUGUAUUUUGUCCUUGUAGUUUGGUUUAGGUAAUGUAAUUUUGUAAACUCUUGUAUAGAUUCUCCUGCGUUUCCUUCACUCAAUGCCAGUUGACUUUGGUAGUUGCCAUCUUCUGCACUGUCAAUCCACUCUUCUUGGUACAAUUUCAGUAAUAUAUCGUUAUCUUUUG
rnacentral:misc_RNA from 1 species